CCUACGGGCGGCUGCAGUGGGGAAUAUUGGGCAAUGGGCGCAAGCCUGACCCAGCAACGCCGCGUGAAGGAAGAAGGCUUUCGGGUUGUAAACUUCUUUUCACAAGGACGAAGCAAGUGACGGUACCUGAGGAAUAAGCCACGGCUAACUACGUGCCAGCAGCCGCGGUAAUACGGAGGGGGCAAGCGUUAUCCGGAUUUACUGGGUGUAAAGGGCGUGUAGGCGGGAAAGCAAGUCAGAUGUGAAAACCAUGGGCUCAACCUGUGGCCUGCAUUUGAAACUGUUUUUCUUGAGUACUGGAGAGGCAGACGGAAUUCCUAGUGUAGCGGUGAAAUGCGUAGAUAUUAGGAGGAACACCAGUGGCGAAGGCGGUCUGCUGGACAGCAACUGACGCUGAGGCGCGAAAGCGUGGGGAGCAAACAGGAUUAGAUACCCCAGUAGUC
rnacentral:rRNA from 1 species